rnacentral:rRNA from 1 species
UACAGAGGUCCCGAGCGUUGUUCGGAUUCACUGGGCGUAAAGGGUGCGUAGGUGGUGAGGUAAGUCGGAUGUGAAAUCUCCAAGCUCAACUUGGAAAUGGCAUUGGAAACUACCUUGCUCGAGGGUUUGAGGGGGGACUGGAAUACUUGGUGUAGCAGUGAAAUGCGUAGAUAAUCAAGUGGAACACCAGUGGCGAAGGCGGGAUCUCUGGACAAAGCACCGUCGACGCUGGAGGCACC